rnacentral:rRNA from 1 species
GAUGAACGCUGGCGGCGUGCUUAACACAUGCAAGUCGAACGGUGAACGAGGGAGCUUGCUCCCUCCAGAUCAGUGGCGAACGGGUGAGUAACACGUGAGCAAUCUGCCCUGGACUCUGGGAUAAGCGUUGGAAACGACGUCUAAUACCGGAUACGAGACGCGAAGGCAUCUUCAGCGUCUGGAAAGAACUUCGGUCCAGGAUGAGCUCGCGGCCUAUCAGGUAGUUGGUGAGGUAACGGCUCACCAAGCCUACGACGGGUAGCCGGCCUGAGAGGGUGACCCGCCACACUGGGACUGAGACACGGCCCAGACUCCUACGGGAGGCAGCAGUGGGGAAUAUUGCACAAUGGGCGCAAGCCUGAUGCAGCAACGCCGCGUGAGGGACGACGGCCUUCGGGUUGUAAACCUCUUUUAGCAGGGAAGAAGCGAAAGUGACGGUACCUGCAGAAAAAGCACCGGCUAACUACGUGCCAGCCGCCGCCGUAAAAC